AACAUAUACCAAUAGUUCAACUAUAAAUAAUAUCAAUAAUGCGGAAGCUCCAAAAGAUACUAAGCAACCAAUUUAAAUAAGUUUCUAAGGUUUAAUACUUAUCAUCCCAAAAUCUGAUAGUCAUCACAUCAAGGACAUCUAAUCUCCAAUACUAAGCCUAAGAAUAUCGAAUACACUAAAAUAAAGAAUAAAAUGGUAUGUGUCCGAAAGCAUAGGACAUCAUGUUAUGACCGAGAGAAUCCAACACGAGCUAGAAAUAAUAGCUCACCCUGAACUCUGAUGUGCUGGAGACUGGCUAGAGCUGAGGGCGAGUCGAAGUCGAUGGUACACUUGCUGCACUCCACAAAAUAACAAAGAAGAAAAUACAAGUAGAGGUCAGUACAAUGAACACGUACUGAGUAGGUAUCAUCGGCCAACUCAAAAUAGAAAUCAAUAUAUAUUGAAUAAUAAUAUAAAAUCAACUACAAUACUUAACAGGUGGCAAGCAACAAACACAUGAACCAUUGACAACAACACCAUAACAGGUACACCAUCAAUCAGCAAAUCAAACACACCUAUGAGGACUCAUGCCUCCACACCAUACUCAUUUGAAAGAUAGGUUCUUUGAGGUUGAGUAUAUUAAGUCACUUCAAGAUUCCCUUCCUUUAAUGUUAUUAUGUCGGAACGUGACACUCCGAUCCCAUAUACCGUGUCGAAACGUGACACUCCGAUCCCUUAAUAUCGUGUCGGAACGUGACACUCCGAUCCAAUUAUCUUAUAAUUUUAUUUCAUCAAGCCUUCUUUAUUCAAGGCGUACUUUUAAUAGAGAGGGUUCAAGAUUAGAAAUUCAACAGUCUCAUAAUUUUAGGCCAACCACAAACCACACAAUCAAAACAUACAGCCACACAAUCAAGUAAAUAGGAGACUUUACAAUAUCACUCAAUACAUAUCAAUCGCUAUUUAGAGUUUAUCUAUCAAAUAAAAUUAAACCAUAACCUACCUCCACCGAAGAACCGAAGUCAAGCAACUACUUCUCCAAUGCCUUUCCUUUUCUUAUUGCCUCCGAACCCUUCCAAUCUAUCAAGUAUAUAAUAUACAUAAGGUGUAAGUUAACAAGACCAUAAACACUCCGAUUAUUCUGUGUCUAGCCUAUACUCAUCAAUUCACCUAAUUCUAUAAUCAAUUUCCUAAAUUUUAAACUUAAGGUAAGUUCUAUUUCCUCUCAUUAGCAUAACUUUAAUGUAAUUCAUAUAAUAUACUACACCUUAUAUUUAAUUACCUAUCUCAAUAUAUCAAAAUAUAAUCUAUAAUAUAAUAACAACAUUAAAAUUUUUAAAAGUUAAAGCCACUGGUUAAGGUACCAGUGGCAGCGAACACUUCACAAUAUACCCACCCCUUUAUAUUCCAAUUCUUAAAAAUGAAAUUCAGUUAUUUUCUUGCAGCUUCAUCGAUCCAGCUUCUAACACAAGGCGAACCUACCUUGGAUUAUUUUCCAUUAACUUCACGUGAGAACAGGGAGGAAAUAUGUACCUACGAAUUCGCAUGAAAAUUGUAUCAAUUUUUUCUUUGUUCUAAAAUUUAAAUUGGCAGAACAUUUAAACCUUUACAUUGUCAUACCUUACACCUUCUUUUAAUUAAUCAUCACAAUAUAACAAUUUUUCCAAUCCCAACAUGCUGCUCCCUCUUCUCUAUUUUAUUAUUUUAUUUUACAAAACAAACAUUUCCAUCCAAUUUUAUAAUAUUAAUCAAAAGAGACCAAUAAUUAAUCUACAGAAAUCUAACUCCUUAGAUUCAAAACAGAACUCCCGUUCUUCCCUUUCUAAUUAACAAUAUAUUAGGCUGCUAGUAAUAUUACUCUCUAUUAGAAAUCACCAUUACAUGUAACAAAAGAAUAAAAAUUUCAAGAACCUUAAUUCAUAACACACUAAAGUCAAUUUUCUUUUAUGUAACAUGUAACUGCUGCUAAAAUGUUGCAGGCAGCAACAUCAUACAGCCGCCACGUAGUCACAAUUUGCCCAUAUCCCCCUUUUCCCAUUUAAUUAGUAUAAUAUUCUAUCAUGGCUAAAAUAUCAACAUAUAUCCCUAUCAUCAAUACAUAUGUAUAGCGCAAUAUUAAGCUGGUCGAGUUUUACCUGAAGGCCCACUUUACGAUCUUCUUCGCAAUCCUUCUGCCCCUCUCUGAUUUUCUUACUUUCCUCCAGAGAUAAAUUAUACCUAAUUUCUAUAUAGGACUAAUUAUAUAAAUAAUGAAAAGUGUCCAUCACUAAUUGUUAAGUUAUUUUCUUUAACUAUCAAUUAAAUAAAUUAUUAAAAUUAUCC
rnacentral:lncRNA from 1 species